rnacentral:tRNA from 1 species
GGAUUGUGGCUCAGUGGUAGAUCGCUUGUCUAGUACGUGUGAGGCUCUGGGUUCGAUCCUCAGCACCA